UUAACUUUUGAGCUCAGUGGGGAGACAGAUGGUUACAUUGGAGCAGGCCUCUCUCGAGACAAAAGUGGUCAAGGAGCCACUGUCUAUUCUUGCGCCGCAGUCAAUAAUGAACUGAAGUUUUUCCGUUCCACACUCAACAAUCAAAUACUGACUCAGGAUGGCACAUUAAUUCCUGGAAGUUUCCGUGGUUCGAUGAUUGGAAAAAAGAUUCAGUGCAUUUUCACUGCUGCAGGUCUCAGUAGCACUGCCCGUGCUGCCACCACAGACAGUUUUGUCUUCUUUUUAACAGGAACCGUCUCAAAUGGUUCUCUGGAUUCUCCAGUGACUAGACUGGCCACCAAUGGGUCAGUGGACUUAAGCAACCCUAACAGCACAGAUGUUUCAGUAAUAACACCCAGUAUAAACACCACCACUACAUCCCC